UACGGUUCCUUGACUUCCGAGUCUUUCACUGAGGGAAAUAUGGCUAUUAUGAUGAAUUAGAAUAUUUCUGAGUAUCUGCCAGAGAGAAGUCGACGAAUGUUUAAUAAUAUGCUCGUUGAGUAUUUCAGUAAGCUCAGAGAGGUCUUGGAGGCUCAAUUCUGG